rnacentral:lncRNA from 1 species
CGUGCUCAGGUGACUCAGUAGGAGCAGAGAAUUAUGCUUGAUAGAGCGGUGGGCAGUUAGAGAUAUUCCCAAGACCUUCAGAAAGCGGAGGAGGAGGCAUUCCGCUGGCCCAUGCCCGGUGUAAAUCUAUCAAUUGUUGCCUGAGCCUUACUACCUCAUCAUUGUGUUCAGAACUUUCUUCCCUGUGAUCCUGAUUCGGGUCAAUGAGCGAAUUUUCAAUCUCCCUGCUAGCCAUG